rnacentral:rRNA from 1 species
CUACGUGCCAGCAGCCGCGGUAAUACGUAGGGCGCGAGCGUUGUCCGGAAUUAUUGGGCGUAAAGAGCUUGUAGGCGGUUUGUCGCGUCUGCUGUGAAAGGCCGGGGCUUAACCCCGUGUAUUGCAGUGGGUACGGGCAGACUAGAGUGCAGUAGGGGAGACUGGAAUUCCUGGUGUAGCGGUGGAAUGCGCAGAUAUCAGGAGGAACACCGAUGGCGAAGGCAGGUCUCUGGGCUGUAACUGACGCUGAGAAGCGAAAGCAUGGGGAGCGAACAGGAUUAGAUACCCUGGUAGUCCAUGCCGUAAACGUUGGGCACUAGGUGUGGGGGACAUUCCACGUUUUCCGCGCCGUAGCUAACGCAUUAAGUGCCCCGCCUGGGGAGYACGGCCGCAAGGCUAAAACUCAAAGAAAUUGACGGGGGCCCGCACAAGCGGCGGAGCAUGCGGAUUAAUUCGAUGCAACGCGAAGAACCUUACCAAG